UCGGGAAUUUUGGGCAAUGGGCGAAAGCCUGACCCAGCAACGCCGCGUGAAGGAUGAAGUAUUUCGGUAUGUAAACUUCGAAAGAAUAGGAAGAAUAAAUGACGGUACUAUUUAUAAGGUCCGGCUAACUACGUGCCAGCAGCCGCGGUAAUACGUAGGGUGCAAGCGUUAAUCGGAAUUACUGGGCGUAAAGCGUGCGCAGGCGGCUUUGCAAGACAGAUGUGAAAUCCCCGGGCUCAACCUGGGAACUGCAUUUGUGACUGCAAGGCUAGAGUACGGUAGAGGGGGAUGGAAUUCCGCGUGUAGCAGCGAAAUGCGUAGAUAUGCGGAGGAACACCGAUGGCGAAGGCAAUCCCCUGGACCUGUACUGACGCUCAUGCACGAAAGCGUGGGGAGCAAACAGGAUUAGAUACCCCUGUAGUCCCUGAGCGGGCUGGCAAGGCGCAU
rnacentral:rRNA from 1 species